rnacentral:rRNA from 1 species
AGUUCGGAUUGAAGGCUGAAAUUCGCCUUCAUGAAGCUGGAAUUGCUAGUAAUGGCAGGUCAGCAUACUGCCGUGAAUACGUUCCCGGGCCUUGUACACACCGCCCGUCACACCAUGAGAGUUGGGAAUACCCGAAGCCUGUGAGCUAACUUAUAGAGGCAGCGGUCGAAGGUAGAAUCAAUGAUUGGGGUGAAGUCGUAACAAGGUAUC